rnacentral:rRNA from 1 species
CACGUAGGCGGACUGGAAAGUUGGAGGUGAAAUCCCAGGGCUCAACCUUGGAACUGCCUUCAAAACUAUCAGUCUGGAGUUCGAGAGAGGUGAGUGGAAUUCCGAGUGUAGAGGUGAAAUCCGUAGAUAUUCGGAGGAACACCAGUGGCGAAGGCGGCUCACUGGCUCGAUACUGACGCUGAGGUGCGAAAGCGUGGGGAGCAAACA